AAUCAAGUGCCUUAAGGGUGUUCGACGGAUGCCUUGGCGCUGAGAGGCGAUGAAGGACGUGCUACGCUGCGAUAAGCCGUGGGGAGCUGCGAAGAAGCUUUGAUCCACGGAUUUCCGAAUGGGGAAACCCACCUUCGAUAGCCGGAACUCCAAGACCUUGAAUCUUAAGACCUAGAGUCGCGAGAUUUGAGUUUUGGGGUGCGUGAAGAACGUGAACCAGACCGCGAGGUCUUGGAUUUCCGGUUAUCAAGAGAAGGUAUGAGACUUCCGAAUAAAAUAGGAGGUUUUAAGCGAACCCAGGGAACUGAAACAUCUAAGUACCUGGAGGAAAGGACAUCAACCGAGACUCCGUUAGUAGUGGCGAGCGAACGCGGACCAGGCCAGUGGCGAAUGUAAGACAACCGGAACCUGUCAGGAAAGCAGGGCCUUAGAGGGUGAUAGCCCCGUACGGGUAAUGCAAGCAUUCGUCCUUGAGUAAGGCGGGACACGUGCAAUCCUGUCUGAACAUGGGGGGACCACCCUCCAAGCCUAAGUACUCCUCAGCGACCGAUAGCGAACAAGUACCGUGAGGGAAAGGUGAAAAGCACCCCGACGAGGGGAGUGAAAAAGACCUGAAAUCGGACACCUACAAACAGACGGAGCUCAAGAUUCGUUCUGAGUGACGUCGUACCUUUUGUAUUAUGGGCCAGCGACUUAAUUUAACGAGCAAGCUUAAGCCGAUAGGUGGAGGCGUAGCGAAAGCGAGUCUGAAUAGGGCGUCAAGUUCGUUGGAUUAGACCCGAAACCUAGUGAUCUAGCCAUGGGCAGGUUGAAGGUGGGGUAACACCCACUGGAGGACCGAACCGGUGUCUGUUGAAAAAGACUCGGAUGACCUGUGGUUAGGGGUGAAAGGCCAAUCAAACUGGGAAAUAGCUGGUUCUCCGCGAAAGAUAUUUAGGUAUCGCCUCGCAUGAAUGCUUCGGGGGGUAGAGCACUGGAUGGGCUAGGGGGACUUACCGUCUUACCAAACCCAACCAAACUCCGAAUACCCGAAAGCAAUAUGCGGGAGUCACACGGCGGGUGCUAACGUCCGUCGUGGAGAGGGAAACAACCCUGACCUACAGCUAAGGCCCCUAAUUCGUGGCUAAGUGGGAAAGGAUGUGGAAAUCCCAAAACAACCAGGAGGUUGGCUUAGAAGCAGCCAUCCUUUAAAGAAAGCGUAACAGCUCACUGGUCUAAAUAAGGGUUUCUGCGCCGAAGAUGUAACGGGGCUCAAGCCACGAGCCGAAGCUUAGGGUGUGCGCGCAAGCGUACGCGGUAGCGGAGCGUUCUGUAAGCCUGCGAAGGGCGACUCGUGAGAGCGCCUGGAGGUAUCAGAAGUGCGAAUGCUGGCAUGAGUAACGACAAACACUGUGAAAGACAGUGUCGCCGAAAGUCCAAGGGUUCCUGCGUAAAGUUAAUCUGCGCAGGGUUAGCCGGUCCCUAAGGCGAGGCCGAAAGGCGUAGUCGAUGGGAAUGCAGUGAAUAUUCUGCAGCCAGUGGAUGGUGACGAAUUCCGUAUGUUGUUCGACCUUACUGGAUUGGUCGGGCCUCGAAGGGGUUCCAGGAAAUAGCCUCCACAUCAGACCGUACCCGAAACCGACACAGGUGGACUGGUAGAGUAUACCAAGGCGCUUGAGAGAACUAUGUUGAAGGAACUCGGCAAUUUGCCUCCGUAACUUCGGGAUAAGGAGGCCUUCACUUCGCGCAAGCGGAGUGGAGGGGCACAGACCAGGGGGUGGCAACUGUUUAGCAAAAACACAGGGCUCUGCGAAAUCGCAAGAUGACGUAUAGGGUCUGACGCCUGCCCGGUGCCGGAAGGUUAAAAGGAGAGGUGCAAGCCUUGAAUUGAAGCCCCGGUAAACGGCGGCCGUAACUAUAACGGUCCUAAGGUAGCGAAAUUCCUUGUCGGGUAAGUUCCGACCUGCACGAAUGGCGUAAUGACUUCCCCGCUGUCUCCAACAUAGACUCAGUGAAAUUGAAUUCCCCGUGAAGAUGCGGGGUUCCUGCGGUCAGACGGAAAGACCCCGUGCACCUUUACUGUAGCUUUGCACUGGUAUUCGUGACUGUUUGUGUAGAAUAGGUGGUAGGCUUUGAAGCUCCGGCGCCAGCUGGGGUGGAGCCGCAAUGUGAAAUACCACCCUAAUGGUUAUGGAUAUCUAACCGCGUCCCCUCAGCGGGGGCCGGGACAGCGCAUGGUGGGCAGUUUGACUGGGGCGGUCGCCUCCCAAAGAGUAACGGAGGCGUGCGAUGGUAGGCUCAGAACGGUCGGAAAUCGUUCGUCGAGUAUAAUGGCAAAAGCCUGCCUGACUGCGAGACCAACAAGUCGAGCAGAGACGAAAGUCGGUCAUAGUGAUCCGGUGGUCCCGUGUGGAUGGGCCAUCGCUCAACGGAUAAAAGGUACGCCGGGGAUAACAGGCUGAUGACGCCCAAGAGUCCAUAUCGACGGCGUCGUUUGGCACCUCGAUGUCGGCUCAUCACAUCCUGGG
rnacentral:rRNA from 1 species